UACGUAGGGGGCAAGCGUUGUCCGGAUUUAUUGGGCGUAAAGAGCGUGUAGGCGGCCAGAUAGGUCCGUUGUGAAAACUCGAGGCUCAACCUCGAGACGCCGAUGGAAACCAUUUGGCUAGAGUCCGGAAGAGGAGAGUGGAAUUCCCGGUGUAGCGGUGGAAUGCGUAGAGAUCGGGAGGAAUACCUAUGGCGAAAGCAGGCUUCUGGGCCGUCACUGACGCUGAUCUGCGAAAGCUAGGGGAGCAAACAGG
rnacentral:rRNA from 1 species